rnacentral:rRNA from 1 species
GACGAACGCUGGCGGCGUGCCUAAUACAUGCGAGUAGAACGCACAGUUUAUACCGUAGCUUGCUACACCAUAAACUGUGAGUUGCGAACGGGUGAGUAACGCGUAGGUAACCUGCCUGGUAGCGGGGGAUAACUAUUGGAAACGAUAGCUAAUACCGCAUAAUAUUGAUUAUUGCAUGAUAAUUGAUUGAAAGAUGCUAUUGCAUCACUACCAGAUGGACCUGCGUUGUAUUAGCUAGUAGGUGAGGUAACGGCUCACCUAGGCGACGAUACAUAGCCGACCUGAGAGGGUGAUCGGCCACACUGGGACUGGGACACGGCCCAGACUCCUACGGGAGGCCGCCGUAGGGAAUCUUCGGCAAUGGACGAAAGUCUGACCGAGCAACGCCGCGUGAGUGAAGAAGGUUUUCGGAUCGUAAAGCUCUGUUGUAAGAGAAGAACGGGUGUGAGAGUGGAAAGUUCACACUGUGACGGUAUCUUACCAGAAAGGGACGGCUAACUACGUG